rnacentral:misc_RNA from 1 species
CUGAGAAAAGAGGCCUCCGGGUCUCCCUCAUUAACACCCCGCCUUCCAACAAAGUCCCAUUAGGGACGUUAAAUUUUAUGUUGGGAGGGUCUGGAAAGACCCUCCGACCCUAUAAACUCUGAAUGUUUGUACAGUCCGAGUAUAUAUUCUAAUAUAUGA